rnacentral:lncRNA from 1 species
CCCAGUUCCAGGUGACAGCUGGUCCAAGGGUCUCUACUCCACCUUGAUGAUGGAGAACAUGAGGCUGCGAGACGAACUGGGCAAGUCUUCCUACUAUCGUUCCCCCAUCAUAUUGCAGCAGCAAGCACUACCGGAUACGUUUUCCAACAGCAACGAAAAGCUCUCUUUGAUUUCCAAACUGGAGAGGGCAGAGGCUCGCAUCAAUGCCUUGGAGUACCAGGUAAGGGGCCUCUUUUUAACCUUCGCAUCCGUUGGCAUGAAUUCCAGCUCUACGCUAUCCUUUUUGAGACAAGGCAACCAGAACAGUGCACAAGUUUGUCACAGGGAUUGUCUGUCCUCUCUGCCACAGCUGGAGGAGUCUUCCAGGAAAUGGGGGCGAGAGAAGCAGGACUACAGCGCCCGACUUCUGGAGCGCGAUCUUGGAUUGGACCUGUCACCAACCCCUCUACUCUUAGGGGACACGUUGCUGGAUGAGAAGGAAGGGAGAGGAGAUGAAGAGCAGAAGAACGCAAAGAUAUAUGGAGUGAAGGCGAGUGCCCCAAAGUAG